AUCCAGCUGACGAGUUCCAACUUGAACGAAACGCACGUCCUUGAU
rnacentral:hammerhead_ribozyme from 1 species